rnacentral:lncRNA from 1 species
AUUAGAAUUUAUUGAAUGACAAAACAAUGUAUUAAAUUUCAUGAAGGAGAAGAUGAAUUACACUCCAUGAAAGGAGGAAAUGAACAACUCCAUAAAAGGAGGAAGACAUUCCAUAAUAGGAGGAAAUGAAACCUCCAUGGAAGGAGGGAUUGGAGGACAAUCCAAUAGACUAAAAGCGCAUACAUAGUGUUGUAUUUAUAGAACAAAAUGGCUAAACUAAUUAGCUAAUUAACAAACUAAUCACUAACU